CCUACGGGGGGCAGCAGUGGGGAAUAUUGCACAAUGGGGGAAACCCUGAUGCAGCGACGCCGCGUGAGUGAAGAAGUAUUUCGGUAUGUAAAGCUCUAUCAGCAGGGAAGAAAAUGACGGUACCUGAUUAAGAAGCCCCGGCUAACUACGUGCCAGCCGCCGCGGUAAUACGGGGGAUGCGAGCUUUAUCCGGAUUUAUUGGGUUUAAAGGGUGCGCGGGCGGUCUGUUAAGUCAGCGGGCAAAGCCCGGGGCUCAACCCCGGACCGCCGUUGAAACUGGCAGUCUCGAGUUGGAGAGAAGUAUGCGGAAUGCGCGGUGUAGCGGUGAAAUGCAUAGAUAUCGCGCAGAACACCGAUGGCGAAGGCAGCAUGCCGGCUCCACACUGACGCUGAGGCACGAAAGCGUGGGUAUCGAACAGGAUUAGAUACCCGAGUAGUC
rnacentral:rRNA from 1 species